UACAGAGGGUGCAAGCGUUGUUCGGAAUUAUUGGGCGUAAAGGGCGCGUAGGCGGUGCCACAAGUCACCUGUGAAAUCUCCGGGCUUAACUCGGAGCCUGCAGGCGAAACUGUGGUGCUGGAGGUGGUGGGAGAGGUGCGUGGAAUUCCGGUGUAGCGGUGAAAUGCGUAGAUAUCGGGAGGAACACCUGUGGCGAAAGCGGCGCACUGGACCAUAACUGACGCUGGAGGCGACGAAAGCUAGGGGAGCAAACAGG
rnacentral:rRNA from 1 species